GACGAACGCUGGCGGCAUGCCUAACACAUGCAAGUCGAACGAGACCUUCGGGUCUAGUGGCGCACGGGUGCGUAACGCGUGGGAACCUGCCCUUAGGUUCGGAAUAACUCCCCGAAAGGGGUGCUAAUACCGGAUAAUGUCUUCGGACCAAAGAUUUAUCGCCUUUGGAUGGGCCCGCGUUGGAUUAGCUAGUUGGUAGGGUAAAAGCCUACCAAGGCGACGAUCCAUAGCUGGUCUGAGAGGAUGAUCAGCCACACUGGGACUGAGACACGGCCCAGACUCCUACGGGAGGCAGCAGUGGGGAAUAUUGGACGCUGGGCGAAAGCCUGAUCCAGCCAUGCCGCGUGAGUGAUGAAGGCCUUAGGGUUGUAAAGCUCUUUUACCCGGGAUGAUAAUGACAGUACCGGGAGAAUAAGCUCCGGCUAACUCCGUG
rnacentral:rRNA from 1 species